rnacentral:piRNA from 1 species
UGAUGUCAGGUGAAAUAGUCAUUGGCCACU